GAAUUUUGGACAAUGGGCGCAAGCCUGAUCCAGCAAUGCCGCGUGAGUGAAGAAGGCCUUCGGGUUGUAAAGCUCUUUCAGUCGAGAAGAAAAGACUGCAGCGAAUAACUGCGGUUUAUGACGGUAUCGACAGAAGCACCGGCUAACUACGUGCCAGCAGCCGCGGUAAUACGUAGGGUGCGAGCGUUAAUCGGAAUUACUGG
rnacentral:rRNA from 1 species